GAUGAACGCUGGCGGUGUGCCUAAUACAUGCAAGUCGAACGAAGUCUUCGGACUUAGUGGCGAACGGGUGAGUAACACGUUGGUACCUACCCUCUAGUGGGGAAUAACUGCCCGAAAGGGUGGCUAAUACCGCAUAAUACCGCAAGGUUAAAGCAGUAAUGCGCUAGAGGAGGGGCCUGCGUCUGAUUAGCUAGUUGGUUGGGUAAUGGCUGACCAAGGCUGUGAUCGGUAGCNGGUCUGAGAGGAUGAUCAGCCACACUGGGACUGAGACACGGCCCAGACUCCUACGGGAGGCAGCAGUGGGGAAUAUUGGACAAUGGGCGCAAGCCUGAUCCAGCAAUGCCGCGUGGAUGAAGAAGGUUUUCGAUUGUAAAGUCCUUUCGGCGGGGACGAUGAUGACGGUACCCGCAGAAGAAGCCCCGGCUAACUUCGUGCCAGCAGCCGC
rnacentral:rRNA from 1 species